UGCGUAGGCGGCCUGACAAGUUGGGUGUGAAAUACCUCGGCUCAACCGAGGAGUGGCGCUCAAAACUGUUGGGCUAGAGGAAGAUAGAGGUGAGCGGAACUUAAGGUGGAGCGGUGAAAUGCGUUGAUAUCUUAAGGAACACCCGUGGCGAAAGCGGCUCACUGGAUCUUUUCUGACGCUGAGGCACGAAAGCUAGGGGAGCAACG
rnacentral:rRNA from 1 species